ensembl:lncRNA
CAAGCAUCUACUCGGCACGGUACGGCUCGUCUCAUCUUUGUUUGCGAGCGUUUCCAUACGGACUAGUGCCUGGUACCAGGCACUAUUUUCAGCACCUUCUCGGCUGAGGUUCCCAGCGAGCUGAGAUGAGCCGAUAAUGUGGCGUUUACAUAGUGCAGGCCACUGAUUGGACAGGGAGUGACGACACAGAGCAACUCCAGCACGAAAACAAAACCCUGCAUUAAAAACAACUGUAAUCAGCGACGGUGUGCAUUGCUCUUCACGGAACUCUCUGUUCUUCAUAAUUUUAAUACGACAGCCAGACCUGUACCGUGGGUGAAUGAAGAGGUCGAGACUUUUCUGUCUUUGGUAGCGGACCAAAGAAUACAGAGGGAGCUGGACGGAGAAAGUUUAUCAGGAGGUCUCUGAGCGGAUGGCCACCCACGUAUACAGUAGACUGUAUAUAAAGAGGACAGAAGCAGUGUAGGGAGAAGCUGAAAAAGCUCAAAAGUAACUAUCGGUCCACCAAGGACCACAACGGCCGGCGUGGGUCAACCAGGAGGUGUUGGAAGAGGUUUAAUGGAAGCUAUUUACUGGCACCGCACCGUCAGCAACAGGAGGGAGACUCAGCUGCUGCAUUGUUGGAGACGUUCGAGGACGAAUCCCUUUCCACAUGCGUAGCCUACGCCAUCUCCGUCGCGGAGCCCCCAGCUCCCCUGCCUCCUCUCCAGCACCAGCUUCAGCACCAGUACCAGCUCGGACACCGACCCUGUCAACAUCAACCUCCAGCACGUCACAGCAACGUCUUAUCACCGGAUGACACCAACAGCCGAAACCAAAUUCCGUGUAUAUUGUGUACUUACUUGGCCAUUAAAGCUGACUGAUCACUUUUCUGUGUUUGGUCUAG